GGUUAAGUGACUAAGCGUACACGGUGGAUGCCCUGGCAGUCAGAGGCGAUGAAGGGCGUGCUAAUCUGCGAUAAGCGUCGGUAAGGUGAUAUGAACCGC
rnacentral:rRNA from 1 species